rnacentral:rRNA from 1 species
CCUACGGGAGGCAGCAGUGAGGAAUAUUGGUCAAUGGACGAGAGUCUGAACCAGCCAAGUAGCGUGAAGGAUGACUGCCCUAUGGGUUGUAAACUUCUUUUAUAUGGGAAUAAAAUGUUCCACGUGUGGGAUUUUGUAUGUACCCUAUGAAUAAGGAUCGGCUAACUCCGUGCCAGCAGCCGCGGUAAUACGGAGGAUCCGAGCGUUAUCCGGAUUUAUUGGGUUUAAAGGGAGCGUAGGUGGAUUGUUAAGUCAGUUGUGAAAGUUUGCGGCUCAACCGUAAAAUUGCAGUUGAAACUGGCAGUCUUGAGUACAGUAGAGGUGGGCGGAAUUCGUGGUGUAGCGGUGAAAUGCUUAGAUAUCACGAAGAACUCCGAGUGCGAAGGCAGUUCACUGGACUGCAACUGACACUGAGGCUCGAAAGUGUGGGUAUCAAACAGGAUUAGAUACCCGUGUAGUC